AACAUCGCCUCCUGCAAAAAUCAAUGUAUAGGAGGUCCUGCCUGCCCAGUGACAACUUGUUAAACGGCCGCGGUAUUUUGACCGUGCUAAGGUAGCGCAAUCACUUGUCUUUUAAAUGAAGACCUGUAUGAAUGGUGGAACGAGGGCUUAACUGUCUCCCUUCUCCUGUCAAUGAAAUUGAUCUGCCCGUGCAGAAGCGGGCAUAUUUAUACAAGACGAGAAGACCCUUUGGAGCUUAUUGGGGCGACCGCGGGGGAAAACAAAGCCCCCACGUAAAACUAAGAGAGACAUCUCUAAGCCACAGAACAUCUGACCAAAAGAUCCGGCCCACAAGCCGAUCAACGAACCAAGUUACCCUAGGGAUAACAGCGCAAUCCCCUCCAAGAGUUCAUAUCGACGAGAGGGUUUACGACCUCGAUGUUGGAUCAGGACAUCCUAAUGGUGCAGCCGCUAUUAAGGGUUCGUUUGUUCAACGAUUAAAGUCCUACGUGAUCU
rnacentral:rRNA from 1 species